GACGGAGGAUGCAAGCGUUAUCCGGGAUUAUUGGGCGUAAAGCGUCCGCAGGUGGACAUACAAGUCUGCUGUCAAAGUGCAGAGCUUAACUCUGUAAAGGCGGUGGAAACUGUAGGUCUUGAGUAUGGUAGGGGUAGAGGGAAUUCCCGGUGUAGCGGUGAAAUGCGUAGAGAUGUGGAGGAACACCGAUGGCGAAGGCAGCCCCCUGGGUUAACACUGACGCUCAGGCACGAAAGCGUGGGGAGCAAACAGG
rnacentral:rRNA from 1 species